rnacentral:rRNA from 1 species
CGGCGCGCUACCAUGCAGUCGAGGGGCAGCGGGGAAAAGCUGGCUUUUCCGCCGGCGACCGGGGCGGGGGUGCGCUGCGCGUAUACCUGCUGCCCCCUACUGCGGGAUAGCCCAGAAAAAUUUGGAUUAACACCGCACGGUACCGUAUCCCCGCAUGGGGUUUACGGUAAAAGGUCACGGUGGGGGAUGAGUAUGCGUACCAUUAGCUUGGUGGGGGGGUAACGGCCCACCAUGGCGACAUGGGUAGGGGCCCUGAGAGGGGGAUCCCCCACACUGGUACUGAGACACGGACCAUACUCCUACAGGAGGCAGCAGUGAGGAAUAUUGGACGAUGGGCGGGAGCCUGAUCCCGCCAUGCCGCGUGCGGGAAGAAGGCCCUAUGGGUCGUAAACCGCUUUUAUACGGAAAGAAACCACCCUACGUGUAGGGUACUGACGGUUCCGUAAGAAUAAAGACCGGCUAACUCCCUGCCACCACCCCCGGUAAUACGGAGGGUCCGAGCGUUAUCCUGAAUCAUUGGGUUUAAAGGGUCCGUAUGCGGGCCGUUAAGUCAGGGGUGAAAGUCUGCGGCUCAACCGUAGAACUGCCCUUGAUACUGGCGGUCUUGAGUCGUACUGGAGUAGGCGGAAUAUGUACUGUAGCGGUGAAAUGCACAUAUAUUACAUAGAACAUCGAUCGCGAAAGCGGCUUACUAAGUACGUACUGACACUCAUAGACGAAAGCGUGUGGGAGCGAACGGGAUUAGAUACCCCGGUAGUCCACGCCCCUAUACCAUGGAUACUAGCUGCUCCUGUACUUUGAGUACUGGGACGGCCCAAGCGAUAGUGCAUAGUAUCCCACCUGGGGAGUACGUGCGCCUAGAGUAACUUCAAAGGUAAAUUGACCGGGGG